rnacentral:lncRNA from 1 species
CAUUGAAUGUGCAUUUCAUGUCUGAUACUGGGCAAGCUAUGGUCUGAAAUUCUUCUGAAUAGUGGCUUCUUUCAUGUUCUGCCUGCAGUAGGAAGAAUGUGAUAAGCCAGUGGUGUGGAUGACCCAAGAGCAGCCAGGAUGGGAGACAGCUAGACAGAGCCUGCAAGCCCCUCUGGAAUACUUUCACUAUCAGAACACAAUGAAUGACAAACCUUUAAAAACUCCUGUGAGUUACAGAGAAAGCUUCCAGUGAAGAUGGUGGUAUUGGCUGAGUCUAGGAAAUGGAAGAAAGGAAAAACAGAAUAGCAAGAG